GUUAGCUGCGCCACUAAAGCCUCAAAGGCCCCAACGGCUAGUAGACAUCGUUUACGGCAUGGACUACCAGGGUAUCUAAUCCUGUUUGCUCCCCAUGCUUUCGUACCUCAGCGUCAGUAUUAGGCCAGAUGGCUGCCUUCGCCAUCGGUAUUCCUCCAGAUCUCUACGCAUUUCACCGCUACACCUGGAAUUCUACCAUCCUCUCCCAUACUCUAGCUUUCCAGUAUCGAAUGCAAUUCCUAAGUUAAGCUCAGGGAUUUCACAUCCGACUUAAAAAGCCGCCUACGCACGCUUUACGCCCAGUAAAUCCGAUUAACGCUCGCACCCUCUGUAUUACCGCGGCUGCUGGCACAGAGUUAGCCGGUGCUUAUUCUGCGAGUAACGUCCACUCACUUUAGGUAUUAACUAAAGGAGCCUCCUCCUCGCUUAAAGUGCUUUACAACCAAAAGGCCUUCUUCACACACGCGGCAUGGCUGGAUCAGGCUUGCGCCCAUUGUCCAAUAUUCCCCACUGCUGCCUCCCGUAGGAGUCUGGGCCGUGUCUCAGUCCCAGUGUGGCGGAUCAUCCUCUCAGACCCGCUACAGAUCGUCGCCUUGGUAGGCCUUUACCCCACCAACUAGCUAAUCCGACUUAGGCUCAUCUAUUAGCGCAAGGUCCGAAGAUCCCCUGCUUUCCCCCGUAGGGCGUAUGCGGUAUUAGCAUUCCUUUCGGAAUGUUGUCCCCCACUAAUAGGCAGAUUCCUAAGCAUUACUCACCCGUCCGCCGCUAGGUCAGUUACCGAAGCAACCUCCCCCGCUCGACUUG
rnacentral:rRNA from 1 species